AUUGAACGCUGGCGGCAGGCCUCACACAUGCAAGUCGAACGAGUGGCGGACGGGUGAGUAAUGUCUGGUAAACUGCCUGAUGGAGGGGGAUAACUACUGGAAACGGUAGCUAAUACCGCAUACCAUCAGAUGUGCCCAGAUGGGAUUAGCUAGUUGGUGGGGUAACGGCUCACCAGGGCGCCGAUCCCUAGCUGGUCUGAGAGGAUGAUCGGCCACACUGGACAUGAGACACGGUCCAGACUCCUACGGGAGGCAGCAGUGGGGAAUAUUGCACAAUGGGCGGAAGCCUGAUGCAGCCAUGCCGCGUGUAUGAAGAAGGCCUUAGGGUUGUAAAGUACUUUCAGCGGGGAGGCGUUACCCGCAGAAGAAGCACCGGCUAACUCCGUGCCAGCAGCCGCGGUAAUAC
rnacentral:rRNA from 1 species